AUCUUGUUCAUGAAAAUACAGAGAAAAUAGGAAAGAAAAUGAAGGAGAAGGAGUGCAAAAAUGAAGAAAAUAAGAAUAAUUCAAAAGGAAUUAUUAUCAUAUUGGGUGUUUAUAUUCAUUGUCAAGGAUGUAAACAACAAGUGCUUAAAUCCCUUCGUGGCUUUGAUGGUGUGGAGGAAGUUGAGAUUGACGAGAAAAAUCAUAAAGUGGUGGUG